rnacentral:lncRNA from 1 species
CCUAGGGCCAUCCCAUGGCUGCACUGACUGCUCUGGACCAGCCACCCUGUGCAGCGCUGGUGUGGACAGCCCGGGAGUGACCUGCCCGGCUCCCUCACCGGGAAGUCCCUGAAAGGGAUGCACUUGGUGAUUUAUUGUUGGAUGGAAGUUUCUAUUAAACAACCCUUCCUUUCCCAGCCUAGCUCUCGGACUCACAUUUACCUCUGCUUUCUCUGAAGACGAAGUGGAAACCUCUGCCCAGCCUGGUUGGUAUAAGUGGGAGGAGUGGUCCCUGGAGGAGGAGAGACCUUGCUGCAAGGCCUGGGGACUUAGAAGAAUACAUCAGAAUUGUUAAAGUAAGACGUCUGUAUCACCAUUCGCGUGUUCAACACAAUGCUUGCAGAUGGCCCCAUCUUUCCUAUUCAGGGCAAUUUGGAGUGCAGCAAAUGUGCCACAAUUAAGAAAACUGAAAUGGAACAUAACUUCUUUAAUAUUCCUUUUUAGGCUAAGCAUCAAGCACAAGACAAGCAUCAUCAUGUGCCUGAUGGCGUGGAAGGCUCUGUGGACACAAGGCCCUGGUACAGAGUUAUACAUUUAGUUGUAGGUCCUUCUAGAUCUUCUAUGUGAGCCACUGCCACAGCAUGGCAACUGACAGAUGGAUGGUGUGGUUCUGAGCCUGGGAACCGAACCUGGGCUGCUGAAGUGGAGCGCACUGAACUUUAACUGCUAGGCCAUUGCGGCUGGCUCUGUCAGUUUUGAAUAAAGGAAAUGAAAC